rnacentral:rRNA from 1 species
UACGUAGGUGGCAAGCGUUGUCCGGAAUUACUGGGUGUAAAGGGAGCGCAGGCGGGGAAGCAAGUCGGCUGUGAAAUGCAUAGGCUUAACCUAUGAAUUGCAGUUGAAACUGUUUUUCUUGAGUGGAGUAGAGGUAGGCGGAAUUCCGAGUGUAGCGGUGAAAUGCGUAGAUAUUCGGAGGAACACCAGUGGCGAAGGCGGCCUACUGGGCUCUAACUGACGCUGAGGCUCGAAAGUGUGGGGAGCAAACAGGAUUAGAUACC